rnacentral:rRNA from 1 species
CGUUGUUUCCAAAGUCCUUAAUUAAUUAAUAUUUUUAAUAUUAAUGGGAUCCGGGGAUAAGGUGUAGAGGUGAGUAUGUUAAAUAAGAUACCCUAUAGUCUUCUUAGCUAGGAGAUAUAAAGUAAAGGAAAAUUUCUGCUAUAGGAUUCUAUUUAAUUUGAUUAGGUAGUUGAUAGGGUAACGGCCUACCAAGCCAACGAUCAAAAGUCAAGUUUGAAAGAACCUCUGGCCACAUUGGGGAUGAAAUCUCCCAAGUAGUAAUAACACUACCAGCAGUCGAGAAUAUUAGUCAAUGCUCGUAAGAGUGAACUAGCUAACUGAAAUCAUAGAAUUUUUUCAAAUUCAUGAUGUCGUAAGGGAAAAUAAUGAUAAUACCUUACUAUGAGUGUCGUCCAAAUCUGGUGCCAGAAGACUCGGUAAGACCAGAGACGCAAACGUUAAUCAUCAUAAACAGGCGUAAAGGGUUUGUAGGCAGCUUUUAUAAAAUAUUUCAAAAACUAAAUUAAAAGCUAGAAUCAAAAAGAGGUUAUAGUGUAUAACGCCUAGAGGAGGGCUGAUAUCCAUAGAUCCUAGGCAGAAUACUCAGGGCGAAGGCCACUCUCCACUAAUGAUUGACGCUGAGAAACGAAGGUUAGGGUAGGAAAUAGGAUUAGAUACCCCGGUACUCCUUUCUGUAAACGAUGAAUGGUAGUCAUUAGUUAAAUUAAAAAUAACU